AUAUCAAUAAGCGGAGGAAAAGAAACCAACUGGGAUUGCCCUAGUAGCGGCGAGCGAAGCGGCAACAGCUCAAAUUUGAAAUCUGGCUUCGGCCCGAGUUGUAAUUUGUAGAGGAUGCUUUUGGUUAGGUUCCUUCUGAGUCCACUGGAACGUGGCGCCAGAGAGGGUGAGAGCCCCGUAUAGUUGGAAACCGAUCCUGUGUAAAGCUCCUUCGACGAGUCGAGUAGUUUGGGAAUGCUGCUCUAAAUGGGAGGUAAAUGUCUUCUAAAGCUAAAUACCGGCCAGAGACCGAUAGCGCACAAGUAGAGUGAUCGAAAGAUGAAAAGCACUUUGAAAAGAGGGUUAAAUAGCACGUGAAAUUGUUGAAAGGGAAGCGCUUAUGACCAGACUUGUGCCGUGCGGAUCAUCCAGUGUUCUCACUGGUGCACUCCGCUCGGUUCAGGCCAGCAUCGGUUCUGGAGGGGGCAUAAAGGCCGCAGGAACGUAGCUCUUCGGAGUGUUAUAGCCUGUGGUGUAAUACCCCCGCUGGGACCGAGGACCGCGCAUUGCAAGGAUGCUGGCGUAAUGGUCAUCAGCGA
rnacentral:rRNA from 1 species